AAAAAAAUAUUGCAUGGCACUAAUACGCUUCCACUUGCGUUUGAAAUUUAGAAUAACUCAAUAAAGCAGGCUUAAAAAUGGUAAUUCCAAAGAAAUCCUCUCUAUAUAGAUCCUUAAUCUCAUUGGCUGUCCCAAAAUAAAAUUUGUCAAGGUCAGUAAACAUGCCGAUAAAAAGUUGUGAUGUUGACAUACACGAAAAAUAACCGAUAUAUGGAUUGUUCUGUAUAUAUUUUUGGAUCAAUUUAAUUUUAUGUCUUUUGGAUAACUACAUUUUGUAAGUCCGUGUUAGACAUGUUAAUAAAAUAGCCGUUUUCCGACAGUUUGAGCCGAAAUCCGUGCGGGUGUGAAUCGCUCCCGAAGCUGCACCAUUACGGAGAUCCUAAGGAGUUGUAGCCCUCUCCAAAAAUAAAGGGGGAGGGCUACAUUAUUGCAGCUGAAUUGUAUUUUGUGCACGCUGAGUUAAUUGAUAAAUUGUACUCAGAUAAUUUUAAUAGGUUUCAAGUAUUUAUAAUUUAUUAGAGAUUUCAAGAGUAAUAUAUGAGAAAGUCAAUUUUUGUGUUUCUGAACAAAUUUUAAAAUCUAUCGUAAAUAGACCCUACGUUUUAUAUGCAGGAUACUGCCCUAUAUUGCCAUAAUGACUGUACGCUAUAAUAUAUGGUAAAAGUUAAACCUUUACAACUCAUGCGAGGUAAGAUUUGUUUGUUUUGUUUUCAUGUAUCUGAUGUCAUUGUUUGUUCUGCAUGUUUCAUGUUGUGGACAUACUAUUUUCUUUUAUGUUUGUUUUAUUUGCACUUUUGUUUCGCUUCAUUUACUUUCUUGAGAUUAAAUUGUACAUCAU